GCCUAUUGCACUCCGGGGUCCGGAGCGCUCUAGUGUCAAAAGUGGCUAUUGCACUCCGGAGUCCGGAGUCCUCUAGCGUCAAAAGUGGCUAUUGCACUCCGGAAAUUUAUGGCGACGAAUGGCAAAUAACGACUGAUUCUGUGUUUAACAUAAAUACCAUUCAGCCUGAGUUCAGAGUCUGUCUUUCAUUCAAGCUUCAAUUAUAGUGUGAAAGAAGAGGGAGUUAUGCACUGAUCUGUGGUUUCACCUUUGUUACAAUAUCGUACAACAGGUCAACAGCAUGUGAUGAGUUUUUGAGAUUUCCCCAAAUGAAAAACAAACCUGAUGCCUUCAAGAAAUUAGUGUUUGACAUUUUGAAAAAAAAUGUAUCAUGUUUGAAAAGUGAGAUUUUACUUAUUUCAUCUAUAAAAGUUUUAAGGUUUGCAGGAUUAGGGGUUUUCGCUAUUUCUUUACGUUUACGACCUGAUCAUGACUUUAUAUCACAUAAGAAGAAUGUUCUUCGAUAUCAUUUAAUAAUGAAAGAAGUUGAGUGUGUAUAAACAAAAACAAACCAUUCGUCAUCGUCGAGGAAUAUUCUUUUUACAACAUAAGGGAGAUAGAUGUUACAAAAUACUGGUAGU